rnacentral:rRNA from 1 species
AGUGAACGCUGGCGGUAGGCCUAACACAUGCAAGUCGAACCGCAGCACAGUAAGAGCUUGCUCUUACGGGUGGCGAGUGGCGGACGGGUGAGGAAUACAUCGGAAUCUACUUUUUCGUGGGGGAUAACGUAGGGAAACUUACGCUAAUACCGCAUACGACCUACGGGUGAAAGCAGGGGAUCUUCGGACCUUGCGCGAUUGAAUGAGCCGAUGUCGGAUUAGCUAGUUGGCAGGGUAAAGGCCCACCAAGGCGACGAUCCGUAGCUGGUCUGAGAGGAUGAUCAGCCACACUGGAACUGAGACACGGUCCAGACUCCUACGGGAGGCAGCAGUGGGGAAUAUUGGACAAUGGGCGCAAGCCUGAUCCAGCCAUACCGCGUGGGUGAAGAAGGCCUUCGGGUUGUAAAGCCCUUCUGUUGGGAAAGAAAAGCAGCAGGUUAAUACCCCGCUGUUCUGACGGUACCCAAAGAAUAAGCACCGGCUAACUUCGUG